rnacentral:RNase_P_RNA from 1 species
AUGGUUGGGCAAUUGCUGCUUAAUGCAGAGGAAAGUCCAUGCUCACACGGUGCUGAGAUGCCCGUAGUGUUCGUGCUUCGCGAAACAAUAAGCGGAGGCAGUCUGAAUCGUCAGGCUGACGGCAGAGAAGAUACCUAAGUCCCCCUGGGAUAUGGUAUGAAUCUCUUGAAAGUGCCACAGUGACGUAGUUCUGUCAGAAAUGACAGAAGUGGAACGAGGUAAACCCCGCGAGUGAGAAACUCAAACAAUGGUAGAGGCACUUUCCCGGAGGAAAUGAACUGAGGGAAAGGCUGGCAUUUUGUGCCGGCAGAUAGAUGAUUGCCGCAUGUCGUACGAGCUUAAUAAGCGCUUUAGUACGCUUGAACAAAACAUGGCUUACAGAC